UGAUACGCAGUGCUACGUGCUACGUGCUACAUCGAAGGUAUAACGUUUUGUCCUUGUCUUUCGAAGCUUGUUUUUGAGACCAUGUCGAGCACAAGUGCGUGUAGUACGUAUAAUUUAUUAACGAAAUGGGGAUUUUCUCCUGAAAUAAUAGCGAACUUUACAGGUAAGUAAGUCAAUUUAUUUUUGAUAAAAAUGAUAAGAGUAACGUAUAACUUGGACUCGUUUGGAUGAGGGGAGUGAAAUCUGAGGAAUGAAGGGAAAAUCCAUUGUAACCAUCUUGAUUGAUGAGAUUUUGCGUACAUAUAACACACGAUAUAUCUAUUUUCACGUCCCAUUGACAUGAUUUUAACCGAGCCAUCGUUGGGAUUUAAGCUCAAGAAAUUAAAGCAGAUCAAUUAAAUAUUUUAACGGAAGAAGAUCUUAAGAAUUUAAUCCCAAACAUAGGACCGCGAAGAAAAUUUCAAGUAUUGUUCAAAGUAUUGUAAAACAAUAUCUAAAUGAAAGAGAGAUUCAACAGUUAUAUCCGGAAGAAAAUUCUAAUACAAUUAAUCAUGAACAACAGUUACUAGCUGCACAACAAGAACAAGUAGAAAAUCUUAUAAAGCAGAAAAAUAUAGAGAGCAAUAUACACAAUCAAGAUAUUAUAUACUAUCUACAAUCAUUGCCUGAA